AAAAAACUAGUUAAAAUCAUAACUUAAGUUUGUCAAGCUUGUAUUACCCGUGUGGUGUUCUUUU
rnacentral:tRNA from 1 species